UUCGCAAUGCCCGAAAGGGUGACGAAGCGACGCCGCGUGUGGGAAGAAGGCCUUCGGGUUGUAAACCACUGUCGGGAGUUAAGAAAUGUGGGAGUGUUAAUAGCGUUUUUGCUUGACUAAGGCUCCGGAGGAAGCCACGGCUAACUCUGUGCCAGCAGCCGCGGUAAUACAGAGGCGGCAAGCGUUGUUCGGAAUUAUUGGGCGUAAAGAGCACGUAGGCGGCUAUAUAAGUCGGUUGUGAAAGCCUUCCGCUCAACGGGAGAACAGCAUCCGAUACUGUAUGGCUUGAGUGUGGGAGGGGAGAGCGGAACUUCUGGUGGAGCGGUGGAAUGCGUAGAUAUCAGAAGGAACGCCGGCGGCGAAAGCGGCUCUCUGGCCCAUAACUGACGCUGAGUGAGCGAAAGCUAGGGGAGCAAACGGGAUUAGAUACCCCGGUAGUCCUAGCCGUAAACGAUGGGCACUAAGUAGAGGGGUUUU
rnacentral:rRNA from 1 species